rnacentral:rRNA from 1 species
CCUACGGGUGGCAGCAGUGGGGAAUAUUGGACAAUGGGGGCAACCCUGAUCCAGCCAUGCCGCGUGUGUGAAGAAGGCCCUCGGGUUGUAAAGCACUUUCAGUGAGGAAGAACGCCUGGUGGUUAAUACCCAUCAGGAAAGACAUCACUCACAGAAGAAGCACCGGCUAACUCCGUGCCAGCAGCCGCGGUAAUACGGAGGGUGCGAGCGUUAAUCGGAAUUACUGGGCGUAAAGCGCGCGUAGGUGGCUUGAUAAGCCGGUUGUGAAAGCCCCGGGCUCAACCUGGGAACGGCAUCCGGAACUGUCAAGCUAGGGUGCAGGAGAGGAAGGUAGAAUUCCCGGUGUAGCGGUGAAAUGCGUAGAGAUCGGGAGGAAUACCAGUGGCGAAGGCGGCCUUCUGGACUGACACUGACACUGAGGUGCGAAAGCGUGGGUAGCAAACAGGAUUAGAAACCCUGGUAGUC